rnacentral:misc_RNA from 1 species
GAGCUUAUUUAGGGCGAAUCGAGAGCGAUUACAGAGAACAGUUGAAUGCUCUGCAGAGAGAUGCGGAGUGUAAAGAGGCGAAGCUGAUGGAAGCUUGGUGCAGCAAACAUGCGAAAUUGGCGAAGCUUGUGGAGAAAAUUGGAGGUCAAGGACAUGGGUUGAUGGUUGUUGGUGCUGGUAAUUCGAAGGAUAUCGUCCAUUGAAGCUCUGCUUCCAU